GGGGACAUGUGGAGGGGAAUAUGGGCACACUGACCAUGUCCUCGGCCCCAACAGGAGGUGACCUCCAUGUUAGUGACUGCAGAGAGGGCCCGCCAGGGAGUCCAGGAGAGGCAGGGGCAGCAGAGGAUGUGCUGAACUGUCAGAAAUGGAAUGAGCAAUUCAAACUGAUGGAGGAGAUCGAGCUGCUCCAGGAGGCUGCAAAUCUGUACACCGUGCAGCCUGACAAGCACUUUGGGGCCUGGUUCCAGGCCAUGGAGCCCCUGAGUGAGGAGGAGGAGAGCUACAGCCUGUCCUGCCAGCUGGAGCCCAGAUACCACUGGGCCAGAAAGAUUCGACUCUUCUUCAAAGACAAGAAGAACAGCUCAGACACCAGACCCCCAACGAAGGGCCCAGUGGUGGUGGUCCAUGACCCUCCUGAGACCAGCUGAGCUACAGUGGGUACACAGUGGGGACAAUCAGGGUGCACAGGGUCAUCUCCUCAGAUUCUGAUGAGAACUUUGUGAUCCAUUUCCUGGGGUCCCCUGGAGGCCACGAUGGAAGGCAUCAACCCCUCUUCUCCCUCCCCCCCUUUUCCCCAGCACCUAUCUCCCUAUUUGGAGGGGCCAUGUUUUGUUGUCAAUGGUAAAUGCUGCAUUUGAGUAUAACAUUAAAUUGUUGCUUCUUUCUAAUCCUGGGAGUGGAGGUGUGCGUCUUUCACUCCCUGCGCUCAUGGAAACCAGAUCCAGAAACUCACAUUCCUUCUCGAAUUUAGAAACAUCACAGAGUCAUCAGCUCAGUUUAUGUGGAGACUGGAGAAGUGCCAGUCCCCUCCCUGGCUACUGAAGGACAUGCCCAAGUCCCCCUUCCUCCAAGGACAGGAUCAUUGCAGUGGGGCUCACCCUGUCCAGGAGAAGAGAUGGCCCCUCCUACCUCUUGGGACUAAGAGGUUGGAGGCAUUUUCUCAGGCAGAACGACAACCACUGAGCUGGGUGUGUCUUUCAAACUAGCACAUGCCUGUCCCUAGCACAUGUCCUGCCCAGGACAGUGGCUGCCUUUCUACACUCUGCCAGAAGAGGGAACAUUUUCCUGGUUUCUCUGGCACACAGAUUAGGACCUUGUUUUCUGAUUCAGUCUCUGGAAUGUCUUCAGCUCAAACUGGGGAAAAUACCGUCAAAAGCUCAAAAUGUGCCUGUGAAGAGGACAAGGCCAGAGGAAGAUCCUGUGCAGAUGGACCAUGGGCAGGCAGGACUCUGCCUUCUUGGGCCCACUGAGGGGCUCCCUGUUCACCGUUGACCUAGGCUGGAUCUUCCUGGGCUUCUGGUCCCUAACCCUGAAUACCAUUUCCUGCUUGUUGUCUAUCUAAGGGGAAAGCUGUGGGAUGCAGCUUUUAGGGCCUCAGCCAGGUAUCCCUCCAUAAACCCAGUGCUCUUUGUGAGCUAGGAUUUUCAG
rnacentral:lncRNA from 1 species